GUCUACGGCCAUACCAUCCUGAAUGCGCCCAAUCGGAAGCUAAGCAGGGUCGGGCCUGGUGAGUACUUGGAUGGGAGAUAUUAUACCAUAGGCU
rnacentral:rRNA from 1 species